rnacentral:rRNA from 1 species
AGCCUGAUGCAGCGACGCCGCGUGAGGGAUGACGGCCUUCGGGUUGUAAACCUCAAACAGCAGGGACGAAGCGCAAGUGACGGUACCUGCAGAAGAAGCACCGGCUAACUACGUGCCAGCAGCCGCGGUAAUACGUAGGGUGCAAGCGUUGUCCGGAAUUACUGGGCGUAAAGAGUUCGUAGGCGGUUUGUCGCGUCGUUUGUGAAAACCAGCAGCUCAACUGCUGGCUUGCAGGCGAUACGGGCAGACUUGAGUACUGCAGGGGAGACUGGAAUUCCUGGUGUAGCGGUGAAAUGCGCAGAUAUCAGGAGGAACACCGGUGGAGAAGGCGGGUCUCUGGGCAGUAACUGACGCUGAGGAACGAAAGCGUGGGUAGCGAACAGGAUUAGAUACCCUGGUAGUCCACGCCGUAAACGGUGGGCCCUAGUUGUGUGUUCCUUCCACGGAAUCCGUGCCGUAGCUAACGCAUUAAGCGCCCCGCCUGGG